AUUGGCACUUUGGCCUGCGUGGGAGCCCGAGCUGUUGCUUCCUCUGUGAGGAGCCUGGAUUUCUGACAGCCAGUGCAGCUGGUCCGUGUUCUUUCCGCUGCGCCAAAGCUCACGGGUAGUGAUGGAAAGAUAACACCGAGCAGGGGAUGGAAUCUGUACUUUGCUUUGAUGGCUGCUAUUCCUUGCGGCAGAAACCUGUGUGGAGGGACAGACCGGAGCCCUCUUUGGAGAGAAACCAGCAGCGAUGGAAAACUGAGGUGGUGAUAGAGCUAGCGAUCCCUCCCCCACACCAGCUGCUCCCAAUGCUUCCUUCUGUUCUUUGCUCCACAGAGCAGCCUUCCAGGUCAGAGCCACCCCCUCCUGCUUGGGAAAACCUGCGUUUCUGUAGGUUGAGCCCGGAGCUGACCCAGUUCCAUCAGUUCCCCCCCGGGGGGAGGCCUGGGUUCGAUGAUGGCGCCAUCUGCUGGCCCUUUCUCACGCUGCAGCCGCUGUUGUGUUCUUUCUCGGAAUCCGGUGGUUCUCCAGGUUUGGUCCCUGGAAUCACCUGUAUCACCUGGCACUUGUUAGAGAUGCAAAUUCUGAGAUUCUGCUCACUGAAUCAAAAAUUAGAUUGAGUCCCAGCUGCUCGGGUUUUAACGAGCCCCUCGAGUGAUCCUGUGGCACUUGGGAAUCAGUGAUUUAGGAG